GCUACAGGCUUAACACAUGGCAAGGUCGAGGGGCAGCAUGAGUCGAAGCUUGCUUGAUGAUGGCGACCGGCGCACGGGUGAGUAACGCGUAUCCAACCUUCCCUAUAGUAGAGGAUAGCCCGGCGAAAGUCGGAUUAAUACUCUAUGUUUUCCAAUGCAGACAUCUAAGUUGGAACAAAGGUUUACCGCUAUAGGAUGGGGAUGCGUCUGAUUAGGUUGUUGGCGGGGUAACGGCCCACCAAGCCUACGAUCAGUAGGGGUUCUGAGAGGAAGGUCCCCCACAUUGGAACUGAGACACGGUCCAAACUCCUACGGGAGGCAGCAGUGAGGAAUAUUGGUCAAUGGGCGAGAGCCUGAACCAGCCAAAGUAGCGUGCAGGAUGACGGCCCUAUGGGUUGUAAACUGCUUUUAUACGGGGAUAAAGUGAGGGACGUGUCCCUUUUUGUAGGUACCGUAUGAAUAAGGACCGGCUAAUUCCGUGCCAGCCGCUGC
rnacentral:rRNA from 1 species